rnacentral:lncRNA from 1 species
UUACUUUUAAAAUAGUUUAUUUAUUUCGGAAAAUAGACAUCAGUUUUGAAAAAUGUCAGAAAAUAAAUCUAAGAUUAACAGUCUGAGAUCAGAAGGUGGAGAGGCCAGACACAUUGUAACAUAAUACUGUGCAGGAUACAAAAAUAUAUAUUUAUAUAAUUAGAUGGACAAACAGAAUAAACUGGGAGUGAAUGACAUGGAAAGGAGGACACUCUGUAUGACAGACUAGUAAAUAAAGGUCAAGAAGAGAAAUCAGCUCUAAUGUGUGGGGGAACCUAGAGCUCUGUGAUUAUGGGGGUGAAGCUGUAAUGUGUGGGGUAACCUAGAGCUCUGUGAUUAUGGGGGGUGAAGCUGUAAUGUGUGGAGGAACCUAGAGCUCUGUGAUUAUGGGGGGUGAACCUAGAGCUCUGUGAUUAUGGGGGUGAAGCUGUAAUGUGUGGGGGAACCUAGAGCUCUGAUUAUGGGGGGUGAACCUAGAGCUCUGUGAUUAUGGGGGUGAAGCUGUAAUGUGUGGGGGAACCUAGAGCUCUGUGAUUAUGGGGGGUGAAGCUGUAAUGUGUGGGGGAACCUAGAGCUCUGUGAUUAUGGGGGGUGAAGCUGUAAUGUGUGGGGGAACCUAGAGCUCUGUGAUUAUGGGGGUGAAGCUGUAAUGUGUGGGGGAACCUAGAGCUCUGUGAUUAUGGGGGGUGAAGCUGUAAUGUGUGGGGGAACCUAGAAAUCUGUUUUUUUGGGGUGAAGCUGUAAGGUGUGAGGGGAACCCAGAGCUCUGUCAUUAUGGGGGUGAAGCUGUAAGAUGUGGGGUAACCUAGAGCUCUGUUUAUGUGGGGGUGAAGCUGUAAGGUGUGGCAGAACCUAGAGCUCUGAUUAUGGGGGGGUGAAGCUUUAAGGUGUGGCAGAACCUAGAGAUCUGAUUUUUGGGGUGAAGCUGUAAGGUGUGGCAGAACCUAGAGAUCUAAUUUUUGGGGUGAAGCUGUAAGGUUUGGGGGAACCUUGAGAUCUGAUUUUUUUGGGGUGAAGCUGUAAGGUGUAGAUAAAUUCAGAGAUGUGAUUUUUUUGGGGGUGAAGCUGUAAGGUGUGGAGAAACCUAGAGAUCUGAUUUUUUGGGGGUGAAGCUGUAAGGUUUGGGGGAACCUUGAGCUCUGAUUAUGGGGGUGAAGCUGUAAGGUGUGGAGAAACCUAGAGAUCUGAUUUUUUGGGGGUGAAGCUGUAAGGUGUGGAGAAACCUAGAGAUCUGAU